rnacentral:piRNA from 1 species
UGGCAUAAUGAGAAUAUCUCACGGUAUCUU